CUCCAUUCCCGUCUCUCACAUUCAGAGAUCCAAAACCCUAGCAGCCGCCCCAAAUCCCCAAACCUUCACCGGCCGGCGGCGCCACCCCAAAAACUCUCCAUCUUCUAAGCGGACAAUCCUCACGCUUCCCUCAUUUCACAUCUCCCUUCAAUUAUAUUAGAGAUCCCACCAAAAUCGAUGAGUUUCAGAUCUAAAGCGCUUAGAAGAACCCUAGGUCUCGCCUUGUGUUUCUUUUUCUGGUUCAGCAAAGUCGAGUGAACCUAAACUAUCAUUAAUCAUUUGUCUUUUAUUAAGGACAAUCGAUUAAUGACAGUCUAAGGUUCAUUUUCUUCUACAAAAAUCGCUAUUCGAGUUUAUACAGGUUUUUUUCCUGAAGACAGGUUUGGGGUAAUUUCCUUUAUGUUGAUUAGUUUCCUUUUGAUCUUCUCUUUUUUUGGUUUGGGGUAAUUUCCUUUAUGUUGAUUAGUUUCCUUUUGAUCUUCUCUUUUUUUUCUUUUCGGUUUCUUUCUUCAAAAGUUUUGAUUCUUGUUUGAUUGCAUGAUGUUUCUAACUGUAAGUUCAUUAGUUAGUUUAUAUGCCUAAUUGUUAAUGACAAUCGGUGUCAUAGAGUUUGAGUUUAAUUUGGUUUCAACUCGUGAGGUUUUCUUCUUUCUUCUCUUUUAGUUUAUGCCGGUCGAUCAAUAGUUAGGUUUCAUUUUUUGCUUGUUAAGUGAUUCUGGAACUGAAAUAUUAAGGCUAGUCAAGUGUAGUUCAUCGUUUGCAUUAAAUUUUCUGAGUUCAUGUUUGUGUGAGAAAGGUCUUAGGUUUAACUCAAGGCGUAGUGGUAUUUGUUGGUUCAUUCAAGCAUGUUUUAGAAUCAUAAACUUUCUAGAAUUUCUGAAAAUUCCAUUUUGGGGUAGUGUAGCAGACUAGUCCUUUGUGGAUUAAUUUGAUUCAACAGUUGUUUUGAAGUUCCUUUGUUUUCAAUCCAUUUGAAGAUAUUAGCAUGUUUGUUUGUUGUUUGUGAUUAUUCAAAACUUUUAGGGUAUUAUUUGAAUAACUAAGAACUUUUGGGGUAAUUUGAGGAUUUUUUUAAUUUGGGGAAUCUUUUAAUAACUGAUUGAGAAGCUUCCUAAGUGGACAACUGCCCGAAUUGUUAGGAAAAACAGGCUGAAAAAUUAAAAUAUCUAAAAGAAAUGACAUUUGUACAAAAGUCAGUUUUAAAAGAUGCCUUGUGAGGGUAUUUUGGGAAAAUCUCAUUGCCUUGCCUUGGAAGGCACACAACAGACCUUUUCCUUAUAAUAAGGCAUUUCCCUUAUUCAACACACACGAUACACACCCUAAAAACCCCUAAAAACUUCUCUGCAAUCUAGUUUGGAGAAUCCCUGAACUUUGCCCAUUUUCUUUCUUUUACUAGAGUUUUUGGUUUGAAGAUUCUCUAUUAUGGGAUUCCUGGGUCUUUCUUGGUCUACAAAAGAGGAAACAUGUUUUGAAUUAGAAGCAGUUGGUUGUCUAUUACUGUUGCUUUCACCUUAACUUCAAGCUUAUUUUCCCUGUUAUUCUUGCUGUAAUUAGGUACUAUUUCUGACUAGAGUGGUGCAAAAUUUUUGUGCUUAUCUAAUGAAGAUUGCUUGAGUUUACUGAUGUUCGAAUGUGUAUACAAUUUUCUAGUGGUUUAACUACUCAUUCUUUUGUAAUGAUGUACAUAGAUUGAUUGUGUUGGGUAUUUUUAUAUGCUAAUAGGUUAGAGUAUUCUGAUUCAUGCUUGAAUAUAUUUCAAAGUGCUAUAGUGUAAUUUAAUUGAACUAAUUGUCCGAAAUUACAAUUUGGAUUCUAAGUCCUGGGGAUAUGUUUCUGUCAUGAGCUUCACUGGAUUUGGUGAGUAUCACUGAAGAGAAUGAUGUGUUUGUCAUUGUUGAAUUUGUUUCAAGUAUAGAUACAUGCGGGACUUUUGUAUAGCGUGUAUCUAUUUGGCAAAAGCCUAUUGUUCACUUUUUGGCAUGUUUUAAAUAGCGUUGACUUUUCUUAAAAAUGAUUAAAAGCGGUAAAGAAAUUAGAGUCAACAAUAGGCUAGAACAUGUAUUUAAAUUGGAUAACAUACCAAUAAUAACAGUCGAGCGAUUGUGCUAAAAUCACGGAACCCCAGAAUGCCUAACACCUUUUAUCAGGUUAACAUAAUUCCUUACCCGGAUUUCUGUGUUCGCAGACUAUAAAACAGAGUCAAUCUUUCCUUAAUUCAAGAUUUCAACCGGUGACUUGGGAUACCAUAAAUUAUCCCAAGUGGCGACUCGGAACUCUAAAAAUAAUCACAUUUCGAUUGUUACUUUAAUUGGAAAAAACUCCCUUAUACUUCAUUUGGGUGUGUAAAAAGGAGGUGUGAUAGCUCUGGCGAUUCUACUGGGGAAAAGAACCCAGAAUCUCUAGUUUUAGGGUUCCAGAAUUCGAGCUUAGAAUAAUUGUUAUAUUUGGCUUUAAUUAUUAUCUUGUUCUAUCUACAUGUUUUGGCCUAAUAUGCAAAGUAUUGCUUUUUUACUGCUUUGGUAUUGGUGAACUAUAUAUAAAUUGUUAUGAGUACCUCCUCUCUCUGAGUCUUCUAAAUCAUUUGAGAAGGGUGAACUUUCGUGUAGCUUCUUGUUAGAGUCAUAUCCCAAUGUUAGAACAAGUUUCGGACAAGUUGCAAAGCCGGUGAAGCUUAUGUAUUCCCGGUAUGCUGCUCCCCCGGCUCGAGCUGUCCGCUCGUGUAAGCCAGGUCUAGAACAAUAUGCCAGGUUUUAAACCUAGUAUAGCAAAGCCUCAUUCUGGAUCCCUAGUAGGAACGCUUGUUUGUAUCAUGUGCAUUUGACUUAGGGGACUCAACACAGGGGUUGGGUCCAUCUAGGCUAGGUGUACCUAAAAUCAAAAGACCAUCCUUAUGCAUUUUUGCUUGCUACUUGCGCAUUUAUUUGAUUCGGACUGCAUGUUAACCGGCUUCUAGAAAAAAGGAAAAUUGAGAAAAAUCUAGUUGAGAUUAGAGAGAGGAAAUUACCCACCUGUGAAAAAACAUGGUGUCCAAAAUAUCUCGAAACCCUGCUGAAAACAUUAGAAAAAUAAAAGGCUAUUUCAAAAGUUGGUGUUUUUUGUUACGUCAAAAUUGGCCGAACUACGCAAGUUUGAUUCUCACUUGAUGUAGAAUACGUAGGCAACCCUCAUCGGGUCCAACUACUUUUGCGAAAAUAACCCAAAAAAUUGAAUUGUCGUUGUUUUUAAAUUAGGUGGUGCCGUUCUUGUCCAAAAUAGCCAAAAUGUCCCAAAAGGCGCGGGAAGGCUUUUUUUGCAAGAAUAGCCACCUAGGGUCCUUUUUCAAAAAUUUUGUUGAUUAACGAAAACAUCCCUAUAAUUUUUAUUAUUAUUAUCUUAAGGUGCUAAAGGGAUGUAUUCACAAAAUGUAUUCACAAGAAUAUUUUGUGAAAUUGGUGUUUUUUAGUCAAAGUAAAUCACAGUCUUUUAAUCAAUCACCUUAAAUAAAUGUGCAGGAUGAGCACAAUUCAAAAUGAACCCUUCACAGUCCGCGAGGAAAUCCUGUUAAAGCUACAUAUGUGGUGGCAUGAUUUUGGGGAGGUCAACAGAAAAUUGUGAUAAAAGCUUUGUGUAGUCUGGUUGGGCUUUUGAAGAUUAAGCCAAGGAAGGAUAUAAUUGAGGCCCCGAUACCCUUCUAGAACCCAAGACAUAAUGUUGUUGAUACCCAAUCUUUCCCUGUAUAUUUUUUAUAUGCAAACAUUUUCUAAAUAAUGCUUGUCCAAGUAUAUAUAUAAGCAUGUCCAAGUAUUUUAUUAUUUUUUCUAAUUUUUUCAAAAAGAUUUU
rnacentral:lncRNA from 1 species